AACGAACGCUGGCGGCAGGCUUAACACAUGCAAGUCGAGCGCCCCGCAAGGGGAGCGGCAGACGGGUGAGUAACGCGUGGGAAUCUACCCAUCUCUACGGAAUAACGCAUGGAAACGUGUGCUAAUACCGUAUACGUCCUUCGGGAGAAAGAUUUAUCGGAGAUGGAUGCGCCCGCGUUGGAUUAGCUAGUUGGUGGGGUAAAGGCCUACAAAGGCGACGAUCCAUAGCUGGUCUGAGAGGAUGAUCCGCCACACUGGUACUGAGACACGGCCCAGACUCCUACGGGAGGCAGCAGUGAGGAAUAUUGGACAAGGGGCGCAAGCCUGAUCCAGCCAUGCCGCGUGAGUGAUGAAGUCUCUCGGGUUGUAAAGCUCUUUCACCGGUGAAGAUAAUGGCGGUAACCGGAGAAGAAGCCCCGGCUAACUUCGUGCCAGCCGCCGCCGUAACAC
rnacentral:rRNA from 1 species